GCACUCCUGGGGCGUCUCUAUCUCAUUGCGAGAGGAGGCGCACCUAGAGCGUACACGCUGAUACCCGAAAGAUGGUGAACUAUGCCUGGCCAGGACGAAGCCAGGGGAAACCCUGGUGGAGGUCCGCAGCGAUUCUGACGUGCAAAUCGAUCGUCGGAGCUGGGUUUAGGGGCGAAAGACCAAUCGAACCAUCUAGUAGCUGGUUCCCUCUGAAGUUUCCCUCAGGAUAGCUUGCGCUCGGAAACAACGAGUCUCAUCCGGUAGAGCGAAUGAUUAGAGGCCUUGGGGUCGAAACGACCUCAACCUAUUCUCAAACUCCAAAUAGAUGAGAACCCCGGCUUUCUUGAACUAUGUUUAUGAAGCCGGUGGCUCGGAUCAGAGUGCCAAGUGGGCCAAUUUUGGUAAGCAGAACUGGCGCUGUGGGAUGAACCAAACGCGGAGUUAAGGCGCCUCAAUCGACGCUCAUGUGAAACCAUGAAAGGCGUAGUGCUUAAGACAGCAG
rnacentral:rRNA from 1 species